UUCCAAUUAAUGAAACUGAUCUUCUCGUGAAGAAAAUUUACUUGAUAGUUUUCGGCUGGGGUGACCCUGGAGAAAAACAAAUCCUCCAGGAUGAACGGAAUAAUAAUCCUAAUCAAAGAGCUACAGCUCUAUGAAUCAAAAUAUUGACAGAUUUGAUCCAAUUACUUGAUCAACGAACCAAGUUACCCUGGGGAUAACAGCGCAAUCCAUUUCAAGAGCCCCUAUCGACAAAUGGGUUUACGACCUCGAUGUUGGAUCGGGGUGUCCCAGUGGCGCAACCGCUACUAAAGGUUCGUUUGUUCAACGAUUAAUAACCCCACG
rnacentral:rRNA from 1 species